ensembl:lncRNA
GCAGCCUGACGUGUUGCUGGGAAUUGAACUUGGGUCUUCUGGGAAAGCAGCCAGUGCCCCUAAUCAAUGAGUCAUCACCUCUCUAGCCCUCACCAUUUUACAUUUUUUUUUUUUGGUGUCACAUUUCUAGCUGGAAGAUUAGGGGUUAACUUCAAAACAAAACAGAAACAAAAUGAACAACAACAACAACAACAGCAGCAGCAGCAGCAGCAGCAACAACAGCAACAAACCCUCCAGAAUUUUCAAUGUUCCAUUUGACCUGGAGGAAUAGAGAGAAUCCUGACAUUGAGGUCAUGAAACUGUGCUUUGGAAUUUCUGCCCAGGUGGCACUCCGAUUGGAUAGAAGUUUGAGCCAAAAGUUGGAUGCAUAAUUCAACUAUUUAUAAACAUAUUUGUAGGAGACAAAUGGCGGCAGGGAGAUUCCAUCCAAUGCUACUACAAAGAAAGAGGGCCUGAAUUUUUAAGGUCUGGUUUCCUCUCAAGAAGGUGGAGCAGACACUGACCCAUCUUUACCAUUUAGCUUGAAGAGGACUGAGAGCCUAUGACAAUUCUUCCCAGACUCCCUCAUCCUGAAAAAUGAACACAUUUGAAGAAUAUUACAG